rnacentral:tRNA from 1 species
GGCCCGUUGGUCAAGCGGUUAAGACACCGCCCUGUCACGGCGGUAACACGGGUUCGAAUCCCGUACGGGUCA